rnacentral:rRNA from 1 species
CCUACGGGUGGCAGCAGUGAGGAAUAUUGGUCAAUGGACGAUAGUCUGAACCAGCCAAGUAGCGUGAAGGAUGACUGCCCUAUGGGUUGUAAACUUCUUUUAUAUGGGAAUAAAAUGUUCCACGUGUGGGAUUUUGUAUGUACCAUAUGAAUAAGGAUCGGCUAACUCCGUGCCAGCAGCCGCGGUAAUACGGAGGAUCCGAGCGUUAUCCGGAUUUAUUGGGUUUAAAGGGAGCGUAGGUGGAUUGUUAAGUCAGUUGUGAAAGUUUGCGGCUCAACCGUAAAAUUGCAGUUGAAACUGGCAGUCUUGAGUACAGUAGAGGUGGGCGGAAUUCGUGGUGUAGCGGUGAAAUGCUGAGAUAUCACGAAGAACUCCGAUUGCGAAGGCAGUUCACUGGACUGCAACUGACACUGAGGCUCGAAAGUGUGGGUAUCAAACAGGAUUAGAUACCCUAGUAGUC